GUUUUAUUAGCUCACCUGGCCCAAAGGGCCAAGUGAGCUUUUCUCAUCACUUGGCGUCCGGCGUCCGUCGUCGUCCGUCGUCGUCGUCGUCGUCGUCCGUCGUCGUCGUCCUGCGUUAACUUUUACAAAAAUCUUCUUCUCUGAAACUACUGGGCCAAAUUUAACCAAACUUGGCCACAAUCAUCAUUGGGGUAUCUAGUUUAAAAAUGUGUCCGGUGACCCGGCCAACCAACCAAGAUGGCCACCAUGGCUAAAAAUAGAACAUAGGGGUAAAAUGCAGUUUUUGGCUUAUAACUCAAAAACCAAAGCAUUUAGAGCAAAUCUGACAUGGGGUAAUAUUGUUCAACAGGUCAAGAUCUAUCUGCCCUGAAAUUUUCAGAUGAAUCAGACAUUCCGUUGUUGGGUUGCUGCCCCUGAAAUGGUAAUUUUAAGGAAAUUUUGCUGUUUUUGGUUAUUAUCUUGAAUAUUAUUAUAGAUAGAGAUAAACUGUAAACAGCAAUAAUGUUCAGCAAAGUAAGAUCUACAAAUAAGUCAACAUGACCAAAAUGGUCAGAUGACCACUUUAGGAGUUAUUGCCCUUUAUAGUCAAUUUUUAACCAUUUUUCGUAAAUCUUAGUAAUCUUUUAGAAAAAUCUUCUCCUCUGAAACUACUGGGCCAAAUUUAACCAAACUGGCCAUAAUCAUCAUUGGGUAUCUAGUUUAAAAAAUGUGUCCGGUGACCCGGCCAACGAACCAAGAUGGCCGCCAUGGCUAAAAAUAGAACAUAGGGGUAAAAUGCAGUUUUUGGCU
rnacentral:lncRNA from 1 species